rnacentral:snoRNA from 1 species
UUUGUGCGGCGGCACGGCUCUGCAAUUUCCCCAGUGUUGCUCACCUCUGCGCAAUUGUUUCUACGCGGUAGUUCGAGUGUCAAGCCGUGCUCUGAGCGAUUUGGACGUCUUAGCACCCAAUUGUCUUCUUGUGCACGCAAGUUAGACGGGGGUCGGUGGUUCAUACAUCC